CUCCCACUGGAAUAGGAUAACCAAAUUAUCAGCCAUACAUGUACAUAGCAGCUGAAUAUCAUCCUUCUUUUUUAGUACCUUGUAGAGCCAGUUCUCUAACAACUGGAUGCUAAUCCUGAUCAGUGAUACUAUGUAUGAAUCACUGUAACCUUCUAGCUGAGAGCCAGGACUCUGAAGUCAGCUUGACCUGCAUUUGAAUCCCAUUUCUGCUGCACACCAUCUGGUAAUCCUACUCAAGUUAUUUGACCUCUCUGAGCCUCUGUUCACUCAGUAGUAAAGGAUAAUGAGAGCACCUACCUCAUAGCAUUGUGUGCAUGAUAGAAUCCAUACGAAAUAUUCAUCAUGGUGCCUGGCACAGAGCAUGUUCAGCAAAUGUUAACACUGUUACUGCCACUGCUAUUAUUAUAGGUAAUAAUAAUAGUAAUAAUGAUAACAUAAUGUUAUCCAUCGUUUGGUCUAUCAUCAAGUUUUUGUUUUUUUCUAUCCUCCACAGAAUAAGCAAACAUUUAGAGAAUUGUGUAUAUUCCCAGCAAAAGUGGAUAGACUCAGCUUUUGUCAAAGUAAUGCUGCAGCGAUGAGAUGGAGAAUUCUACUUCCAGUUAUUAAUUACCCCACAUAUUCCACAGAACUGAUAAAGUUUUCACGGAAUGGAAAAGCCUUGCAACCUACAGUGGACUCAAGCUCUACUCAAAGAUACUACGCUCCAAGUGAAACCAGCAUGCAUUCUUCAUCUCCUAGUCCCCUUGAUGUGGUUCUCUUUUCAUCUUUCUUGGAGGAAGCCAAGGAGUGUCACACAGCACUGCAAGAAUCAAGAAUAACACUAAAAAUGUAUGUCAGAGCAUGA
rnacentral:lncRNA from 12 species